rnacentral:misc_RNA from 1 species
UUAACUAUUAAAUAGUACUCAGACGACAUAAUAACAGAGUUGGGGUCCUCUGGCAGGCACUCUCCAGCCGGAGCCGGUGCUCAAUCGCUAUAAGCAAUCUCGCGGCCUGCCAAAGCAACAAAUUAUAAAUACACAAGGGUGGAGUUUUCUAGAAGGCGAUUUUACCCACCUCUAGAGAAACCUUUUAAUGAUCCUUCCGCAGGUUCACCUACGGAAA